GACGAACGCUGGCGGCGUGCCUAACACAUGCAAGUCGAGCGAGUAAAUCUCCUUCGGGAGUGAAGCUAGCGGCGACGGGUGAGUAACACGUGGGGCAACCUGCCUCAUAGAGGGGAAUAGCCUUCCGAAAGGAAGAUUAAUACCGCAUAAGAUUGUAGCUUCGCAUGAAGUAGCAAAUUAAAGGAGCAAUCCGCUAUGAGAUGGGCCCGCGGCGCAUUAGCUGGUUGGUGAGGUAACGGCUCACCAAGGCGACGAUGCGUAGCCGACCUGAGAGGGUGAUCGGCCACAUUGGGACUGAGACACGGCCCAGACUCCUACGGGAGGCAGCAGUGGGAAUAUUGCACAAUGGGGGAAACCCUGAUGCAGC
rnacentral:rRNA from 1 species